rnacentral:rRNA from 1 species
UGUUUGGGGUUAGUCCGUACGAGCGCACCCUUGUCCUUAGUUACCAGCACGUUAAGGUGGGCACUCUAAGGAGACUGCCGGUGACAAACCGGAGGAAGGUGGGGAUGACGUCAAGUCAUCAUGGCCCUUACGGCCUGGGCUACACACGUGCUACAAUGGUCGGUACAAAGGGUUGCCAAGCCGCGAGGUGGAGCUAAUCCCAUAAAACCGAUCGUAGUCCGGAUCGCAGUCUGCAACUCGACUGCGUGAAGUCGGAAUCGCUAGUAAUCGUGAAUCAGAAUGUCACGGUGAAUACGUUCCCGGGCCUUGUACACACCGCCCGUGGGGCGGGGGCGGCGGGCCGGGCGCGG